rnacentral:rRNA from 1 species
UACGUAGGGGGCGCGCGUUGUCCGGAGUUACUGGGCGUAAAGCGCACGCAGGCGGUCUGCUAAGUUUGGAGUGACAGUUGGUGGCUUAACUGCCAAAGUGCUUCGAAAACUGACAGACUUGAGGGCUUCAGAGGGACACGGAAUUCCGGGUGGAGUGGUGAAAUGCGUAGAGAUCCGGAGGAACACCAAAGGCGAAGGCAGUGUCCUGGGGAGUACCUGACGCUCAGGUGCGAAAGCCAGGGGAGCGAACGGG